rnacentral:lncRNA from 1 species
UAUCCUGGGGAAAAAAUAGAUCCCUAGGAACAGUACACUACUAUUCUAAUAGGAUAAGCCUAAUUUCCAUCAGAGUUUUCUGUAAUUGUCUAAGCCUAAGAGCAAUAGUAACUUGCUCAUACUGAAGCUGUUCUAAAAGUGAUGUGCUCCAUUGAAAGAAGAGUUCAUCGUAUAGCCAAAGGUUUCAUGAGGACGACAAUUCUAGUUUUAAUUCAGGAGAACUUGGGAGGUGGGUACUACAUUUAAUCAUUUGGGAGGUGGUACUUGGGAGGCGGUACUACAGUUAAUCAUUACAAAGAUGCCAGUAUUUCAAAUACCUAAUACCAGAAUCUCUCUAGUAUUAUUGGUGCAUUCUUAUUCUGCUGUUCUUUCAUUCUAGUUUGGAAACGGCAUCAAACUUGGAUGUCCAUCCAAGCAGAGUAUCUGCCUCAGUACUUAAAAUGCAAAUGCUGUGGAAUAGUGUCAUUAGCAAGCAACUAUCAGCUCAAGAUAAAACACUCAAAUGCUCAAAUGAAAGUUGUAAGUAGUUUAUCUCCAUCAGCCUACUAGAAUUCUCUUAAUAACCUUCUUACCGUGUCUUCUGGAUUCUCAUGGCUACUGAACAAGUUCUACAACAGUCAAAUAAUAUUAAAACACUAAAAGUGCUUAAAUCUCUGAAUGACCAUUUGAUAUUAUUUGAAUCUUAUAACCACUUUUCUUAGAUAAUAUCUUCUGAUAAUAUAAAAGCUCUAAGCAUUUUGAAAGCUCACCUUCCUUCCCUUUGCAUGUAAAAGAAGAUCAAAACAUACUACUUAAUAGGGUAAAACCUUAAAUAAUGGAAAGUUGCUCCUCUCAUUAAUAGACCAGAAAUUGCAGUAGACUUGGAGGGGAGUACGCUGAGUUUUGUAGGUGUUGUUAGUAAGAUCCUCCACGCUUCAGUGAUAGGAAGGAAAGGCUGAUUUGGAGCCAUUCCAAGUAGUUUCAUGUCAAAAGAGAAUCUAUUCCCUAUUUUCAUCAUUAGCAGAAACAUUCCUAUUCAGAUAUUUUAAGAUUUCAGAUGGACUCAGAGCUUUCCAACCAUUUUUCUAGAAAUGUCUUAAAAUUCUAUUUCAUCUUUUGGUGGCACACUGGAAUAACAGAAUUAACAAGAUAAAACUGAAUCAUAGAGAAACCGGAGGCAAUGUACUGCCCAAUGGUUUAGGGUCAAGCGUUUUAUAUUGAUAAACUGUCUGAACUGUUUUUCCCCAUUUUCAGGAUCAGAACGGCGUUGCAAAACACUUUUUUCACACUGAAUUUUUAAGACACAACUUUAAUUUUGUAGUGUACUUCUAUAUUAUUUAGGUAACAAGGACAGAAAUAGAAAAAGCAGCAUUAUGUCUGGUAUAAACAUUGCAAGGGUGCCUCUUUGUUCAGAUUAUUAGGACUUUGGCAAAGCAACAGGACAAGAAUUUCAGAAGAAAAGAAGGAACCUUAAGAAGGAACUGGACUUAUACAGAGUCUGAGUUAAUUCAUCAAAUCCUGCAUUGCUUGCAACCAGUCACCUUCAUGAAUUAGAAAAAUGUUCCUUAUU